CGGUGUUCACUUCAGGAAGCAUCUGUGUGGCAGCAGUUUUUUGUCUGGAGACUCGCGUAAGUCUUUUUUACAUUAACUUACAGACCCAGACACAAGGCAGGAUACUACGAGUGGUCUUAACUGAUCCUGGUGGGGUUAGGUGACUUUCUAUGGAAUAUACGGAUAUAUGAAAAGGCUGCAUAUGUCUGGGCUUAGGAAACAUGAAGAUGAUGAUGGUGACGAUGAAGAUGAUGAUGGUGACGAUGAUGAUGAUGGUGACGAUGAUGGUAGAGGCGGCCUCACGUGAAACAGAGGAAUCAGAGGCGCGUUACAUUUACAUCAACACCGACUCUCCCUUAACUAUCGCCGCCCUACUCAAUGUCCCCCUCUCCCUGGCAUUACCUCUCCUCGCCCGCCGCCGCCACUACAGUAGAGAACGAAGCUACCAUCACGACCCGAAUCUGGAAUCUGAACUUCACAAUCACGUCACUCCUGAACUGCCGCUGUACGAUGACCCCCAUUACACCGCUGAGGUGGACAAGCUCAAGUCCUACUUUAAAUUCCUUCAGGUGAGUGAGUGAGUGAGCGAGUGAUGAUGUGAACGUAAGACCUCGAGUGUUCAGAUCAUUUACAAUCCACUUCCCGACAAAACCAAGGAAGAAAUGGAUCACCUUAAGAAUCUCUACCCCAGCUUAAUUAACCUAAAGAUUUACCACUAUUUUAGGGAGGGGUGAUUUUAAGUUAAGGUUAGUGUUAGUGUGGUUAAUCUUCAGGUGAAAUAAGCUGGGAUGGAUAUUUUUUAGGUUAUCCGAAGAAACUGAACGUCAGUCUCAUAACCGCGGGAGGCUGUCAGCACUUAUCUUCACUGGCUCAGACUUUAACGAGAAUAUCCUCAUAAAUUUAACGAAUUGAAGCGCCAAUUACUCAGCGACCCGCAUAUAACGUUGUAGGGGCGAACUGCGAGGUCUGAACAUUUUAAAGGUUUCGAAAUAUCUGCCGACUUUCAGAUCUUUCGUAAAAUUGAGGACAAUCUUGAUUAAUUAUUUUGUCA